ensembl:snRNA U1 U1 spliceosomal RNA
AUACUUACCUGGCAGAGAAGACACCAUGAUCAGUCAGGUGGUUUUCCCAGGGUGAGGCUCAUCUCCUGCACUCCAUGUGUGAUGACCCCUGUGAUUUCUCCAGAUGUGGGAAACUCAACUGCAUAAUUUGUGGUAGUGUUAUAUAGACG